GCAAAGUCCUAUUGGACAGCGCUGGUCCGGACCCAGGUGUCCAGCUGUCUUCAGACCAGGUCUCCUCAGUCUGUCACCCUAGCCUGAUGCCACCUCUUCCAGGAAGUUUCCUCCCCCAGCAUCUGGCACAGAGCGGCUUUCUUGUCUGGUCCCCUCACAGGCCAGGAGGUCCUCACACACAGGCCUUCUCAAGUAGCAGAGCCAUCGUCCAAAGAGGACUCAAGCCAGUGUGUUCAGCUCUGUCUCUAAUUUGGAAUGUGGGUGGUCUGCAGUAGGGGGAGAAGGGAAGUGGGGAGAGUGACCAAGGACACACUAUUAUGUGUCAUCAGAAUGCGGAAUCCUGGUGUGACCAGGUAGCCGUCUUUGCCUCAAAUGCUCCUCUUAUCAGCGCUCAAAGCCUUCUACUUCAAAAAAAAAGUUACGGGCUUCCCCGGUGGUCCAGCAGUCAAGAAUCCACCUGCCAGUGCAGGAGACAAAGGUUCCGUCUCUGGUCCAGGAAGACCCCACAUGCCAUGGGGCAACUAAGCCUGUGCGCCCGGGUGCUGCAGCCACUGAAGCCGCGUUCCUAGAGCCCGUGCACCGCGAGAGGAGCCACCAUGAGGAGAAGCCCCUGUACCUCAACGAAGAGCAGCCCCCACUCACCACAGCUAGGGAA
ensembl:lncRNA